CCCAGCUACUCGGGAGGCUGAGACAGGA
rnacentral:piRNA from 2 species